rfam:Pteropus alecto contig107256, whole genome shotgun sequence.
GUCUACGGCCACGCCACCCUGAACAAACCCGAUCCAGUCUGAUCUCGGAAGCUAAGCAGGGUCGGGCCUGGUUAGUACUUGGAUGGGAGACCACCUAGGAAGACCAGGUGCUGUAGGCG